rnacentral:rRNA from 1 species
UGGGGAAUUUUGGACAAUGGGCGCAAGCCUGAUCCAGCAAUGCCGCGUGCAGGAUGAAGGCCUUCGGGUUGUAAACUGCUUUUGUACGGAACGAAACGGUCCUUUCUAAUACAAGGGGCUAAUGACGGUACCGUAAGAAUAAGCACCGGCUAACUACGUGCCAGCAGCCGCGGUAAUACGUAGGGUGCGAGCGUUAAUCGGAAUUACUGGGCGUAAAGCGUGCGCAGGCGGUUAUAUAAGACAGAUGUGAAAUCCCCGGGCUCAACCUGGGACCUGCAUUUGUGACUGUAUAGCUAGAGUACGGUAGAGGGGGAUGGAAUUCCGCGUGUAGCAGUGAAAUGCGUAGAUAUGCGGAGGAACACCGAUGGCGAAGGCAAUCCCCUGGACCUGUACUGACGCUCAUGCACGAAAGCGUGGGGAGCAAACAGGAUUAGAUACCCUAGUAGUCCCUGAGCGGGCUGGCAAGGCGCAU